rnacentral:tRNA from 1 species
GGAGUGGUACUCAAGUGGCUUAAGAGGACGGUUUGCUAAAUCGUUAGGCUGGGUAACUGGUGCGGAGGUUCGAAUCCUCUCCACUCCGCCA